rnacentral:tRNA from 1 species
GCCCGCCUAGCUCAAUCGGCCAGAGCGUCAGACUUUUACGUUAAGGUAUUUAUCUGAAGGCUGCGAGUUCGACCCUCGCGGUGGGCU